ACACUCACGCUCAAUCAUGUGUGGCAAUUGCGUAAUUGUGAUUGGGCAGAGAAAAACGACAAGAAAGCGUACAGUUAUGGGUUGGUCCUCCGUGUUUUUCGCGUAGGAAAGUCCCGCCACGUACUUUCUCUCUCCUCAAUACUCAAAGCGACAGCUUCCUUCCUCCUCAUCAAUCUUCCCUCCUUACUUUAUUCAUUCUUUAAUAUCGCCCAAGAUCUCCCUCCCACCGCCGCAAAUCUUGGUUUCUCCUCCCCUUCCUUCAAUAUCGAUCUCUCUUUACCGUCCAAUUCUUUCUACGCAGGUGAAUUCUCUCUCUCGAGAUAUGCGAUUUUUUUUUUAUUUCAUCGUUUUCUUUUUGGGGUUGGGAUGAUCCGCGGGUAACUAUUGGAAAUCAUUGUUUCUGCUCGAUUUAUAGAGAUGCGCCGUGCAAUUUGAGAAGGGAGGGUAUGCCACGUCAGCGAAUAUUAAGGACACGUGGAGCAGCUACUAUCUAACUACCAAGAGAGAGAAAUAGGAGAGGAAUAGAAAGGGGAGCUGGCUAUAAGUAGGAGCAGAGAAUAACAACUCGAUUCAUGAAAAUGGUGUGUGCGCUGAGUGCUUGGGCUAGGAUCGUGGAUCCGUAGCAUUUACCUUGGUUACUUCUAUCUUGUUUAUUGUUAUCAAUUCCUAUUGUAUCGUUCAUUUCUUUAUCCGCUGAUUAUCGAUUCAAUAUCAUUCGAUUUCUGCAUUUCGUCUUCGUAAAUUGUUGUUUUGGUGUGCUCUCUGGUUUUGGGGUGUAUUUGAUUGGUGUGCUCAUCCGUUCUAUCGAUUUGUGUAUUUGAUUUUGGUUUAAGUUGCAUCAAAUCAUGGAGGUAGUGAUCGAUUGGAGCUCUUCGUGUGGUGUCGUCUCUCAUACCAGAAAAAGGAUGCAACAAUUUGGUGGAAUUUACUAUGUUUGUUCAUAAUUAGCUGUCUGAUCCAUUGAAUUAGAUUGAGCGCGAGAAUCUGGUCUUCAAUUUUAGGGUUUGAAUGAGUAGAUUUACCUUGUUUAUGCAUGUGAUUAUCUGAAUAUUGAUUAAAUACUAGUAUAGCAUUUUUGCUAAUUGCUACGUUUCUGGAAAUAAUGGUUGCCUCGUUUUGUGCUGCUUUUGGUCAUACUUUUUGGGGAUGUUGAUUUUGAUUCGUCAUUUGGUUUGGUAGUUUCUGUAGGUAAGGAUUUGUAGAAUUUAAUUUUCUACAGAAACUGUGGAGCUCCCUUUGGAAUUUUGAAGAAUAAUGAAGUGUCAUUCACAAUGAAUGAACUGAGUAUUCCUCUUCUUCGGUUCCUUGCUAGUUCGAGUUUGGAUUCUGGAUAUAUCUUUGGAUGGCUGAUUACAGGGUCUUUUGGACUUUUAGCUAUUGUUUAUGCCUUCCUGAAAUGGCAGAGAUCGAUGUCCCUUAAUUGGCUUAAAGCUGCUUCCAGGGCAAAAAAGCAAGCGUGGAAGAAUCUAAAAGUUCCCCUAUCGCAUCAUACAUGGGUGGAAGAUGUUUCAUCUGGUAGUUUGCCAUCCACAUGCUGUGUUUGCCUAACUUCUCUUGUCUACCCUCAGAACAUAGGAGCAAAAUCUAUAUCACGGUCCCCAAUACAUAGGUGUCGUGUUUGUGGUGUGGCAGCUCAUUUUCAUUGUUCUCAGUUUGCAGCAAAAGAUUGUAAAUGUGUUGCACAAGCUGGUUAUGGUAUAGUUCAGCACCACUGGUCAGAGAGAUGGUUUAAUCUUGAUGACAAUCCGGAGAUGUCAGCCUUUUGUUUUUACUGUGAUGAACCUUGUGGCAUCCCUUUUAUUGAUGCAUCUCCAGCUUGGUAUUGCUUAUGGUGUCAACGGAUUAUACAUGUUAAGUGCCAAGUGAAAAUGUCCGAGGAAUGUGGUGAUGUUUGUGAUCUAGGUGCUCACAGAAGAAUCAUUCUUUCUCCCAUAUGUGUCAAAGGUGUCGAAACUGAGACAUUAAGUUCCAUUACUGAAGAAAUUAUAGCUUCUACAGUCCGUGGACAGGCCAGAAAAAAGAGGCAUCGGAAGAGGCAUGGAAAUCGGUCCACUAGUGGUAAGCAACCAGAAAAUCCAACUGCCCAAACAGCAGUUCUUACUGUCCUUAAGGGUCUUGUUGGAAUUCAGACUUCUAGCAGUGAAGAUGAUAAUGAUCAUUCUUUGAACAUUAGCAAUGGUCUUAAUAAGAAAAGCACAAUGAAAGCAUCAGCCAAUAAGAAGAAAUCAGUUGAUGCUUGUGACAGAUUAAAAAACUAUACCAUUCUGGAUUUACCUUCAGAUGCAAGGCCUCUUCUGGUCUUCAUUAAUGCCAAAAGUGGAGCACGAAACGGGCAUCUCCUGCACAGAAGGUUGAACAUGCUAUUAAACCCUGUACAGGUAGUUGAACUCAGUUCCUCCCAAGGUCCAGAGGCUGGCUUAGAGCUGUUCAGAAAUUUGCAAUACUUCAGGGUUUUGGUUUGUGGUGGUGAUGGAACAGUUGCUUGGGUCCUUGAUGCAAUAGAGAAGUACAAUUAUGAGUCACCUCCACCAGUUGCAGUUCUGCCUUUAGGAACUGGAAAUGAUUUGUCAAGGGUCCUGCACUGGGGUGGGGGAUUUUCUGUUGUCGAAGGACAAGGUACCUUGAGCACUUUCUUGACCGAUGUUGAAAAUGCGGCAGUAACAAUGCUCGAUCGCUGGAAAGUCAACAUAACAGAAGAAAAGUCACCAAGUACCGUAAAAUCAAAGUUCAUGAUGAACUACUUAGGUAUUGGAUGUGAUGCAAAGGUUGCAUAUGAGUUUCAUACAGAUAGGGAAGAAAAUCCAGCAAAGUUUUACAGCCAGUUUUUAAAUAAACUUAGGUAUGCCAAAGAAGGUGCUAGGGAUAUGAUGGACAGAGCUUGUGCAGACUUGCCAUGGCAAGUCUGGCUUGAAGUUGAUGAGAAAGAUAUUGAGAUACCAAAAGAUGCUGAGGGUUUAAUUGUGCUGAACAUUGGUAGCUAUAUGGGUGGAGUUGACCUUUGGCAAAAUGAUUAUGAAUACGAUGACAAUUUCAAUCACCAGUACAUGCAUGACAAAACGCUUGAAGUUGUCUGUGUUACUGGAUCAUGGCACCUGGGAAAACUUCAGGUUGGACUUUCACAGGCAACUAGGCUAGCACAAGGGAAAGUUGUAAGGUUACAUGUGUCCAGUCCUUUUCCUAUACAAAUCGACGGGGAACCUUUUAUUCAGCAACCUGGAUGCUUAGAAAUAACACAUCAUGGACAGGUGUUUAUGCUUCGAAGAGCAUCUGGGGUGGAUGGACCUAGGGGUCAUGCAGCUGCCAUAAUGACGGAGGUGUUGGUAGAUGCAGAAUGUAAGGGAGUUAUAAACGCCUCGCAGAAGAAGUUACUUCUGCAAGAGAUUGCCCUCCAGCUCUCUUGAUCAUUUCUCACUGAUCGAUCCUUCACAAUUUUGCCAUCACGACAGUCAGACAGAUGAUGAAGAGGUAGAGAAGGAUGAAAUCCUUUCACUGGUGAAUGUCACGGAGAAAGCUCUGCAAGUGCGAGAUGAAGAAUCCCGGUCAGUCAUGAAGAAUACAGCCAAGUCAGGGGCUGAAUACUUUGCGAGCAGAUCAUAUCACGGUCUAGACAUAAACAGCUCGGAUUCGCUCCCGGGGAAAUUUUUGGCUGGGAGAAGUGGUAAGGCUUCGGGAUACAAGGACGAGAAGGCAGAAGUAUCUCAGUCCUAAUAUGUAUUUCAAGUGAAAAAUGCAAUGCUCGUUUUUUUUACUAUAGGACAGGUAAAGCUCAUCUGGUCGAUAGAUAUUAGUGUUGCUCGAUAGGUAAGCUCCCCGUAUCGCUAGGGGGGCCUAAUUUUCCCUUAGGGUCAGCCGAAAAGUUGGGCCGCCCCCCCUAUCUGCAGAUUUUGUUGAAGAGAUCGUUAACCGAUGUCGUUUUGAGAAAUUUUUUAAACUUCCGUUGUGAAAUUACAGUUUUAGCUAUGAGCCGUGCAUUAGAUUUGGAGGUGUAGCAAUAGAGGCGAUGUAAAAGUAUUGCAUUUAAAUACUUUUGCACAUUUUACUUGAAAACUAGAUGAAUACUACAAUUUACAAUUUAAUCAUUAGAUACAGACUAUUCUUAUCUUUUAAUACCACGCAAAAAUUUUGUA